AAGCCUUGGGGGUGACCCCGGGUCGAACGGCCUCUAGUGCAGAUCUUGGUGGUAGUAGCAAAUACUCAAAUGAGAACUUUGAGGACUGAAGUGGGGAAAGGUUCCAUGUGAACAGCAGUUGGACAUGGGUUAGUCGAUCCUAAGCGAUAGGGAAACUCCGUUUUAAAGUGCAUGAUUAUCCAUGCCGCCCAUCGAAAGGGAAUCCGGUUAAGAUUCCGGAACCAGGACAUGGAUCUU
rnacentral:rRNA from 1 species